UCUAAUGUUGCCAUUGAGUCAGUUUGUUAGCUCCGUCCUAUAUUUAUUUACAUUUUGGCAUUUUGACACCAUUAAAAGUAUGCCGAAUUAGCUAUUAGCAGUUCCUGUUCGCUAUGUAACCAUGGAUGUACAGACAACUAUCACUGAAUUGCCACUGAAGAAAACACAACAACCUGAUGAUUCUUGGGCAAAAUCUGGAGCGUCUUUUUUCUCUGAUUUAUGGACGUGUAUUCGCUAUGGACAUCGGAGAUAAUUGUAGUAAACGUUUGACUUCAUGGAUCAUCCCCCUCAAUUUUCUUUCCCCUCCAUCUUCACAUGACACACACAUGACUUAUCAGUGGAACUCAUCUGGGAAAGGUGUGCUGAGGCUCUCAGAUGAGAACGAGAAUGGACAACAGUCUGUUUCACAGCAGGCAAGGAUCAUAGAACAUGAUGACAGAUGCCCAGGUGACAACUGCCUUGAGUGUUGGGAAUUACUCCAUCCAAACUGAAGGUUUAUUUCUAUACACUGUGAGGCAGAUUCUGCAAACCAGUGAUUAGCCAUUUAACAACAGCUGCAGUUUGGUGCUUGAAAAGCCUUGCUUUCGGUUGCAUUCAUCAAUACAGUUCUGUCUCUGUGUACACAAUCAGGCUCCAUUGAGCCAUCAGUCAAAUGGAGCAUCUGUUUCUUGGGAUGUCACUUCACUGUUUCACACUUCAGGAUGUUCUCUCACUCUGCACAUUUGUUCCCUCUGUCGUCUUUAUUCUUCAAUAUAUGUCAUUUGUAAUAUCAUCACAUCCUAGAAGGUACAGUAUAAAGAAACCUGAGGAGGCAAAAUGUUUCUCUGCCAUUUGUAGCUUGUGUCUUUAUCUUUCCAGCAAACUGCAAAGACCUAUGAACUUUUUAGAUGAGAAUCAUUCCUCCUCGAUGCCUCCUCGCUUUCCUCACACCUAAUAUCAUUAAUGUGUUUGAUAAUGUACCAGUUUGUGGUUUACUGCUUUGUCCAUUAUUUCCAGAAUGGAGGACUGUGAUAAGAAAAACCUGAUGCCACUAUAUAUAUAUAGUAUAUAUAUAUAGUGGCAUAUAUAUAUUUUUAUAUAUAUAAAAAAGCUCUUGCUUACAGCAGCAGCAUUAUCAUAAGCAAGCUCUGAUGGACAGUAAAAGAAAGAUGGCUUUCUUACUACAGACUUUGGUUUAUUUGGAUGAUUACAAAUGGAUGUCAUGAUGCCUCUUGAGCUUUGAAAUGCUCCUCGAGGUAUGACUGAGAGCCUUUUAAUGGUUCUGAUCUAAUUUGGUCUGAUUUUCUAAUAGAUGAAAGUGAGACUGAUGUUUGCAGGCAAACAAGAAGAUCUUUGAUUCCCCAUGUGGUGUUACUGAUGUAAGGUUACCUGAGUGGCAUGUUGUUGUGUUGUUUUCUGUGUGCUUAAAUAUAUCAUCUUUAUUAGUUCUAAGCACUAUUUGUAAGUUUGUCUGAAAGGUUAAUAAUGUGAAUAAUACAUUACAUUCCUGAAUGAUUUAAACAAAAUCAAAUCUACUUGAAUCAAACUGAAUUGGGGAUUGUUCCAUGCUGUUAGAGGGGCCCUUGGAGUCUUCUUGUAAACAAACAAAAGCUAUGUUUACAUUCAGUGUUACUCACCAAAACGCAUUGUGUGUAUCUUUGAGGUCUAACAAAUGUGUUAAAUGCAUUUCCUUCCUCAUAAAACAUUU